GGUUGUGUAGUGUAGCGGUUAUCACUCUGGAUUUUGACAAGGGGGUAAAGCGUGAGCCACACCCGACUCUCAAUCAUUCCAGUAACCCCGGUUCGAACCCGGGCACGACCU